UCCGCCAGGGGACUACAAGCACAGCUUAAAACCCAAAGGACUUGGCGGUGCCUCAGACCCAACUAGAGGAGCCUGUUCUAGAACCGAUAAUCCCCGUUUAACCUCACCACCCCUUGUUUUCCCCGCCUAUAUACCGCCGUCACCAGCUUACCCUGUGAAGGCUCAACAGUAAGCAAAAUGGGUUUGGCCCAAAACGUCAGGUCGAGGUGUAGCGCACGAGGUGGGAAGAAAUGGGCUACAUUUUCUGCCACAGAACACUACGAAUAGUGCCUUGAAACAUGCACCUGAAGGAGGAUUUAGUAGUAAAAAGCAAA
rnacentral:rRNA from 1 species